rnacentral:piRNA from 1 species
UACAGCUGUUUGACGCUUUGUGAAAUGCUU